rnacentral:rRNA from 1 species
UACGGGGGGGGGUAAGCGUUGUUCGGAAUUACUGGGCGUAAAGGGCGCGUAGGUGGCCUGCUAAGCGUGCGGUGAAAGCUCGGGGCUCAACCCCGAGUCGGCCGUGCGAACUGGUGGGCUUGAGCACUGUAGAGGCAGGCGGAAUUCCGGGUGUAGCGGUGGAAUGCGUAGAGAUCCGGAAGAACACCGGUGGCGAAGGCGGCCUGCUGGGCAGUAGCUGACACUGAGGCGCGACAGCGUGGGGAGCAAACAGG